rnacentral:rRNA from 1 species
AACGCGAAGAACCUUACCAGGUCUUGACAUCCUUUUGCCCUCCCUAGAGAUAGGGACUUCCCUUCGGGGACAAAAGUGACAGGUGGUGCAUGGUUGUCGUCAGCUCGUGUCGUGAGAUGUUGGGUUAAGUCCCGCAACGAGCGCAACCCUUGAUCUUAGUUGCCAGCAUUUAGUUGGGCACUCUAAGGUGACUGCCGGUGACAAACCGGAGGAAGGUGGGGAUGACGUCAAAUCAUCAUGCCCCUUAUGACCUGGGCUACACACGUGCUACAAUGGAUGGUACAAAGAGCUGCGAACCCGCGAGGGUAAGCGAAUCUCAUAAAGCCAUUCUCAGUUCGGAUUGUAGGCUGCAACUCGCCUACAUGAAGCCGGAAUCGCUAGUAAUCGUGGAUCAGCAUGCCACGGUGAAUACGUUCCCGGGCCUUGUA